GAUGAACGCUGGCGGCGUGCCUAAUACAUGCAAGUCGAGCGAACAGACGAGGAGCUUGCUCCUCUGACGUUAGCGGCGGACGGGUGAGUAACACGUGGAUAACCUACCUAUAAGACUGGGAUAACUUCGGGAAACCGGAGCUAAUACCGGAUAAUAUAUUGAACCGCAUGGUUCAAUAGUGAAAGACGGUUUUGCUGUCACUUAUAGAUGGAUCCGCGCCGCAUUAGCUAGUUGGUAAGGUAACGGCUUACCAAGGCAACGAUGCGUAGCCGACCUGAGAGGGUGAUCGGCCACACUGGAACUGAGACAAGGUCCAGAAUCCUAAGGGAGGCAGCAGUAGGGAAUCUUCCGCAAUGGGCGAAAGCCUGACGGAGCAACGGCGCGUGAGUGAUGAAGGUCUUCGGAUCGUAAAACCCUGUUAUUAGGGAAGAACAAAUGUGUAAGUAACUAUGCACGUCUUGACGGUACCUAAUCAGAAAGCCACGGCUAACUACGUG
rnacentral:rRNA from 1 species